CUCCCCCAGCUGUGCACAUUUCCUGUCCCUGCUAAGAUUCAGUGAAUGACCUCAUGCACGCUUAGCCAAUAUGAGCUAAAGGCUGCUGUCCGACAAAUAAGCAUCAGCAAGGACAGGGAUCUCAAGGCCACCUCCAUCCCAGGGCCAGUCACUCGACCACUUUCCUGGCCCCAAAUCCCUCAUCAAAAGGAGAAGAUCUGGGUUCUUUCCAGAGCAAGCCCGAAUCCCUCUCCUUCUCUUUUCCUUCGCCCCCUAAAUGAUGUCAACAAAUACUUCUUUUGCUGAGUGAAGAGUUUGGCCUUCCCUUUCCUGAUGAAAAAAAAAAAAAAAGAGGUGAAGUGAGAGAGAAGGUGAUAUAACCGUGAAGCCAGCCCUGGGUGCCAGGUACCACUUCACAGAGGAGGUGGUUCCAGAGCCAAGUUUGAAGAGACAAAGAAGUCACCAGCAGACAGAAGAGGAAAUACCUUCCAGAAAAAAGGCCUGCUGAUUGCCAGCAUUAUCAAAACGUCUUUGGGGAGUAUCUACGUCCUGCCACAAGCCUCAGGGAACCAGGCUCCUGUCCUCCCAUCCAGCUGCUACUUCUUCAAAAUACUCUCAAGUCUAGCCCUCACUGCCAGCAUCUUUGAAGGUCUCGGAGUGAAGAACUGAUUGCUUAUCUUCUCAGCCACUGGCUGGAUACAAAGCCAAAGUCCUUUUGCUUCUUUUUUCUAUCUUUUCCAUGUGAUGAAACACAGACAUGUGUUGUAUAUGAGUCUAAACACAAGUGGAAACAGCAAAACCAAUCUAUACGGGGUGUCAACAUAGCACAGUGGUCAAGGCCCAGGGUCUAGAGCGCAAAUGCCGGCUUUCACUGCAGGUUCCUUCUUACUGCCCCAGAGACCAGAGACAAACCACUUACAUCUCAGAGGCUCUGUUUUGCCAUAUGUAAAAUGAGGGAAAUGAGAGUCCCUACUCCAUAGGAUGGUGAGAAGAGUCUGAUAUUUUACGAGCCUAGAACUUGGAACAGAGGCUGGCACCUAGGAAGUGCUCCAUAAGCACAAAGCCCUAUUUGGCCCAAACUUUGGCUUUGUGUAAGUAUUAAUAUUUGUUCAACAGUGAACAAAUAUUUGUUGUAUAUCUCCUGUGGACCAGGUGCUCUGCUAGGUGUGUUUUCCUGGAACUCAGAAGACCUAAGUUCUGGCCUCAGUUUUGCUACGAGCAGGAUGACCAAGGACCAACCUCCUCAUCUCUUGAUCCUCAGGUUUCUUCUCCUUUAAAGCCGGACACCGGGACCACGUGACCAGCAAGGGCCCCCUCCGGUCCUGGCCUGCCCUAAAUGACCAUUCUUGCAAGAACACAGCCCAAGUCCUCCCCAGGCAGGGGUGACCCUUCCGGCCACUCGCACCCACCAUGGGGUCCCCAUGUGUGAGUACGUGGCCUGGAGAGAAGCAGGCCUGAUGGCUGUCUUGUGCUCGCCAUAAAAUAUUGAUUAGGGAAUUUAAAAUUUCAAAAUGAUUUAGGAGCCCCAAGACGGGGACGUAAUGUGCUGUGCCCUGCUGCGUUAUGAGCCAUCUAUCUCCUGUCAGCGAGCAGCAAGAAACUGGCAGAAUCAAUACAAACGUGUCUAAAGACAGACUUAACUCAUUUCCUGCUCCCCCCCACCCUCUUCCCAAGGCUAUGGUUGGAGUGGGUCAGCCUGAGGGGUGAGCACCCAAGUCGGGGAGCCUGGACACUCAUCUGCCAGGACAGCGCAGGCAGGGGUCUCGAGAUGCUGCCUGUUUUCACUCCCUCCAUUGGCUCAGGCAGACAUCUCUGUGAAGGCAUCAGGAAAAUUAAGCAAUCUAGAACUUCCAUCCUCUUUUUCUUUCUUAAGUUCUAAAUAGGAUCUUCUGGCCUGUGUCUUGAAACGAAAAUCAUAAUGAUAGCUUCUUCAUAUUUAGCACCAAGAAUUCUAUAAGAAUCAUCAUUAUUUAACAUCUCAGAGUCUCAGCUUCCCCAUCUGUGAAAGGAAGGGGAUAAGAACACCUUCCUCGAAGGGUUGACAUCAGAGUAAAGCAGAUGCACUGUGACUGUGCUUAAUGCCCCUGACUUGGAAGCUUAAAAAUGGUUAGAAUGGCACAUUUCAUGUUAUGGAUGUUUCACCGUAAUAAAAAAUAACCUGCUUAAAGCACACAAACUACAUUACCUAGUACAUGAAAGGUUCUCCAUAAAUGGCAGUGGGGAUGCAGAGGGCAACAAGUGGUGUGUCCAAGGUAAGAAGAUUCAAAGCAGCAGAGCUGGUAUUUGAACCCACGUCUGCCUGGUUCUGAAAUGGGAGCCCUGUCCUCCAAGCUGCACUGUGUUGCAGGAGAACAGGUGCGCUGCAAGGAGGUCUCAGGCGUCCGUGUUCACAGGUUCACCUAUUGCCCGACCAGCAUCGCCGGUG